UACGUAGGUGGCGAGCGUUGUCCGGAUUUACUGGGCGUAAAGGGCGUGCAGGCGGUUUGCUAAGUCUAGGGUGAAAGCUCCCGGCUCAACUGGGAGAGGUCCUUGGAUACUGACAGACUUGAGGGAGGCAGAGGAGAAUGGAAUUCCAGGUGUAGCGGUGAAAUGCGUAGAUAUCUGGAGGAACACCGGUGGCGAAGGCGGCAUCCUGGACCAACACUGACACUGAGGCACGAAAGCGUGGGGAGCAAACAGG
rnacentral:rRNA from 1 species